AGAUUGAACGCUGGCGGCAUGCCUAACACAUGCAAGUCGAACGGGAGUAGCAAUACUCUAGUGGCGGACGGGUGAGGAAUACGUAGGAAUUUGCCCUUAAGUGGGGGAUAACCCGGGGAAACCCGGAUUAAUACCGCAUGACCUCGAAAGAGCAAAGUGGGGGAUCGCAAGACCUCACGCUUUUGGAGAAGCCUACGUCGGAUUAGCUAGUUGGUGAGGUAAUGGCUCACCAAGGCGACGAUCCGUAACUGGUCUGAGAGGAUGAUCAGUCACACCGGAACUGAGACACGGUCCGGACUCCUACGGGAGGCAGCAGUGGGGAAUAGUUGGACAAGUGGGCGCAAGCCUGAUCCAGCAAUCG
rnacentral:rRNA from 1 species